UGGUUUCUUUUCCAGAGAAUAACCCUGGGGUCUUUGGUGGCCUUUCCUUUUAACUUUUGGGAAGAGGAAACAGCAAGCUGGGAAAGCACAAGCAAUAUAACACAUCUCACUGCAAUCUCAGAAUUGGAAGUGGGGCAGAAGCAGAGAGGCAGCCAAACUAACGUGGUGGAGCUGGAUUGAGUAUGAAGGAGAAGGACUGAGGUGUUUCUUCUAUUCCCAGACUGGGAAAGAAAACAAAUGUUGAUAUCAGGAGAGACAUGGCCAAAGGAUAAUCAGAGAUGACACUGGGAUCAGACAUGUUUUGGGAAGAAACAAGAAACCAAGG